GAUGAAGAACGUAGCGAAAUGCGAUACGUAAUGUGAAUUGCAGAUUUCAGUGAAUCAUCGAAUCUUUGAACGCACAUUGCGCCCGCUAGUAUUCUGGCGGGCAUGCCUGUUCGAGCGUCAUUUCAACCAUCAAGCCCUAGGCUUGCGUUGGAGCCCUGCGGCUGCCGCAGACUCCCAAAUCCAGUGGCGGGCUCGUCGUCGUACCGAGUGCAGUAAACAUCCUCGCUCAGGGAACGUGACGGGUUCUUGCCGUGAAACCCCCCACAUAUCAAGGUUGACCUCGGAUCAGGUAGGAAUACCCGCUGAACUUAAGCAUAUCAAAAGCGGAGGA
rnacentral:misc_RNA from 1 species